GACGAACGCUGGCGGCGUGCUUAACACAUGCAAGUCGAACGGAAAGGCCCUGCUUUUGUGGGGUGCUCGAGUGGCGAACGGGUGAGUAACACGUGAGUAACCUGCCCUUGACUUUGGGAUAACUUCAGGAAACUGGGGCUAAUACCGGAUAGGAGCUCCUGCUGCAUGGUGGGGGUUGGAAAGUUUCGGCGGGUGGGGAUGGACUCGCGGCUUACCAGCUUGUUGGUGGGGGAGUGGCUUACCAAGGCUUUGACGGGUAGCCGGCCGGAGAGGGUGACCGGCCACAUUGGGCCUGAGAUACGGCCCAGACUCCUACGGGGGGCAGCAGUGGGGAAUAUUGCACAAUGGGCGGAAGCCUGAUGCAGAAACGCCGCGUGCGGGAUGACGGCCUUCGGGUUGUAAACCGCUUUCGCCUGUGGCGAAGCGUGAGUGACGGUAAUGGGUAAAGAAGCACCGGCUAACUACGUG
rnacentral:rRNA from 1 species